CCUACGGGUGGCUGCAGUGGGGAAUAUUGCACAAUGGGCGCAAGCCUGACCCAGCAACGCCGCGUGAAGGAAGAAGGCUUUCGGGUUGUAAACUUCUUUUCUCAGGGACGAAGCAAGUGACGGUACCUGAGGAAUAAGCCACGGCUAACUACGUGCCAGCAGCCGCGGUAAUACGUAGGUGGCAAGCGUUAUCCGGAUUUACUGGGUGUAAAGGGCGUGUAGGCGGGGUCGCAAGUCAGAUGUGAAACCCACGGGCUCAACCUGUGGCCUGCAUUUGAUACUGUGUUUCUUGAGUACUGGUGAGGCAGACGGAAUUCCUAGUGUAGCGGUGAAAUGCGUAGAUAUUAGGAGGAACAUCAGUGGCGAAGGCGACUAUCUAGCAUAUAACUGACGCUGAGGAGCGAAAGCGUGGGUAGCAAACAGGAUUAGAUACCCGGGUAGUC
rnacentral:rRNA from 1 species